GGGACAGCUUAGGCUGGGAUUCGCGUAAAUAUUAAUAUAAGGCUAUUUAAAGUACAUUUAAUAAAAUGGUCGUCAGCAUGAAAUAGCAUGGUGUGACACUGAUCCUUUAAGGUGGCUCAAUACAGUUUUUAAAAAGAUAGAAAAUUCACGAUUUAGAUGCGUAUUUUUGGACAAUUAUUACUUGUUGAUAAACAAAAAGUACC